rnacentral:rRNA from 1 species
UGCCAGCCGCCGCGGUAAUACGGAGGGUGCAAGCGUUGUUCGGAUUUACUGGGCGUAAAGAGCGCGUAGGCGGCUUCAUAAGUUAAGGGUGAAAUCCCGGGGCUUAACUCCGGAACUGCUCUUAAAACUGUGGAGCUAGAGACAAUCAGAGGUGGGUGGAAUUCCAGGUGUAGAGGUGAAAUUCGUAGAUAUCUGGAGGAACACCGAUGGCGAAGGCAUCUCUCUGGGCCAUAUCUGACGCUGAGGUGCGAAAGCCAGGGUAGCAAACGGGAUUAGAUA